CCUGGGUAGAGCGGAGCCUGCAGGUCUGGCCACCACGUGGAUUCAGCUUAGGGAGGAGAGGGGUGCAAAGUCUGGGCACCAGGUUUCAGCUUGGGCUGCCUGGGCGUGUUUGUGAGAAUCUGGAGCAGCUGGGGAGAGAAGCCCUGAACGACUCAGAAGGCAUGGCUUUCCCCGUGGUCAAUCAACACGGCAUGCGCUAGCAUGCGGAAUCCCGAGCGAGGGAUCCAAGAAUAAUUCAUCAUGUCAGUUGAGUGAAGGGGAGUCUGAAGAUCUACAGAGGGGGAGACCACAAGACAAAGGAGCCUUAGUCCACACAUGACCACAUAGAAAGCCACUGGAGCGGGAACUGCCUCACUGGGGUAGAAUGUGACUGAACCAGAUGAAUUUUGAAUGUCUCCAUGAUACCUUAAGACCUCUUUUGCUCACCUCCAUCCUGAAAGCUCCUUUCCUCCUUAUGUGUGUAAAGCCUGCAUUUCUUAGAGAUCCACACCCU